UCUGUGUUUGUCUGCUUAUGACUUCGGACUAAUGCUAGUUCUGCACAGAAUUUAAUUGUAGACAAAAGCUCAAAAUACGUAGAUAGAGGGUCAGAUAGAUAAAUAAAUAAACAUAUUAUCUCAGAAUAACUACAUCAAUAUCAAGAGUAAAGCCCCUUUUGUCACUGCAUAUGCAGCAGCUCUGUAGAGAAUAGCCUGUUCUUUGUUGCCAUCCAAGGAGACAUCAUUUUAUUCGACACCCAUGGAGCUGCACAAAUAAGAGUCAGCAGGCAUCAAGCCAUCCUCUUGGAAAAAAAAUUGGCAUCUCCCUCUCUGGCACAUCUGGUUUAAUCCUAUUUGGCAUUGGCUGUGCAGUAAACAAUGCUGUGGAAGUUGGAAAUGAAAAGUAGAAGAAUGUGGGAAGGCGCUGAACAGAAGCAGAGGAAGAGACGCACAUAGUUAAGACACUUUGCUCUGGAGCAGCUGGAUAGCACAGUGGCAUAGGACUCACAAGUUGCAAGAAAGGCUGUUCCCCUUUAAAUGGAUUGAAUCAGGCAGGACUGCAGGGAGAGACCCGCAACAAACUCUCAGAUACCCUAUUAAGUGGGCUUGGUUGAAACCUCAUCUCACCAAUGAGCUAUGGAAGUACUACAUCUUUCUGAGGAAGAAGCUCGUCAUUUGCCUUCACAAAGCAAGUUAAAAUGGCACGAAGAAUCAGGAAACUUGUCAGCUGAGUUUUUACUUACCCUGUGAGACCAUUCUU
ensembl:lncRNA